UUUACCAGAGUACUAUGAAUGCUUAAAAAUUUAAAACUCAAAGAACUUGGCGGUGUUUUAGACCACCCAGGGGAACCUGUCUCGUAAUCGAUAAUCCACGUUGAACCUGACCUUUUUUUGUUUUCAGUCUGUAUACCGUUGUCGACAGGUAACUUUUUAGAAACUAGAAGUUAGCAAUUAAAAUGUUGGUGAUUUAGUAUGUCAAAUCAAGGUGCAGCUAAUAAAGAGGGGAGGAUGGGUUACAAUUAUAUAAUUUAUAAUGACGGAUAGAUAUAUGAAUAUAUGCUAGGUUAUAAGGAGGACUUGGAAGUAAAUUAGAAUAUAUAGAUAAUUUGAAUUAGGCUCUGAAACGUGU
rnacentral:rRNA from 1 species